AAGUCGUAACAAGGUUUCCGUAGGUGAACCUGCGGAAGGAUCAUUAUCGAGUUUGAAGUGGGUCUUUGAGCUGGCUUUUCACGAAGCACCGUGCUCGGGCCCCGCUCCAUCCACUCAACCCCUGUGCACUUUCGAUGGCGUGGUCUCGUUGAGUGAUGUUUCCAUUCAUUUGGACAUCGGAGGUCGCGACGUCGUCUUAUCACAAACUUAUUACAAUAGUCUUGUCGAACGUGGAUGCUCGUAAGGGCGGAAACACAAUACAACUUUCAACAACGGAUCUCUUGGCUCUC
rnacentral:misc_RNA from 1 species